UACCAGCACCCCGAGUGGUCGGGACGAUUAUUGGGCCUAAAGCAUCCGUAGCCGGUUCUACAAGUCUUCCGUUAAAUCCACCUGCUUAACAGAUGGGCUGCGGAGGAUACUAUGGAGCUAGGAGGCGGGAGAGGCAAGCGGUACUUAGUGGGUAGGGGUAAAAUCCGUUGAUCCAUUGAAGACCACCAGUGGCGAAGGCGGCUUGCCAGAACGCGCUCGACGGUGAGGGAUGAAAGCUGGGGGAG
rnacentral:rRNA from 1 species